rnacentral:rRNA from 1 species
GAUGAACGCUGGCGGCGUGCCUAAUACAUGCAAGUCGAGCGAACAGACGAGGAGCUUGCUCCUUUGACGUUAGCGGCGGACGGGUGAGUAACACGUGGAUAACCUACCUAUAAGACUGGGAUAACUUCGGGAAACCGGAGCUAAUACCGGAUAAUAUUUCGAACCGCAUGGUUCGAUAGUGAAAGACGGCUUUGCUAUCACUUAUAGAUGGAUCUGCGCCGUAUUAGCUAGUUGGUAAGGUAACGGCUUACCAAGGCAACGAUACGUAGCCGACCUGAGAGGGUGAUCGGCCACACUGGAACUGAGACACGGUCCAGACUCCUACGGGAGGCAGCAGUAGGGAAUCUUCCGCAAUGGGCGAAAGCCUGACGGAGCAACGCCGCGUGAGUGAUGAAGGUCUUCGGAUCGUAAAACUCUGUUAUUAGGGAAGAACAAACGUGUAAGUAACUGUGCACGUCUUGACGGUACCUAAUCAGAAAGCCACGGCUAACUACGUG